UACGGGGGGGGCAAGCGUUGUUCGGAAUUACUGGGCGUAAAGGGCGUGUAGGCGGCCAACUAAGUCCGACGUGAAAUCCCCAGGCUUAACCUGGGAACUGCGUCGGAUACUGGAUGGCUUGAAUCCGGGAGAGGGAUGCGGAAUUCCAGGUGUAGCGGUGAAUGCGUAGAUAUCUGGAGGAACACCGGUGGCGAAGGCGGCAUCCUGGACCGGCAUUGACGCUAAAGCGCGAAAGCCAGGGGAGCAAACGGG
rnacentral:rRNA from 1 species